rnacentral:rRNA from 1 species
GGAUGAACGCUAGCGGCAGGCCUAAUACAUGCAAGACGAACGGUAAGUUGAGUAGCAAUACUUAGCCAAGAGUGUCGUACGGGUGCGUAACACGUAUGCAACCUACCCUAUACAGGAGGAUAGCCUAGGGAAACCUGGAUUAACCCUUCAUAGUAUUAUUGGAUGGCAUCAUUUGAUAAUUAAAACUGAGGUGGUAUAGGAUGGGCAUGCGUCUGAUUAGUUAGUUGGCGGGGUAAUGGCCCACCAAGACGAUGAUCAGUAGGGGUUCUGAGAGGAAGAUCCCCCACACUGGCACUGAGAUACGGGCCAGACUCCUACGGGAGGCAGCAGUAGGGAAUAUUGGUCAAUGGAUGCAAGUCUGAACCAGCCAUGCCGCGUGCAGGAAGAAGGCCUUCUGGGUUGUAAACUGCUUUUGCCAGGGGAUAAAAUUUCCAUGCGUGGAAAACUGAAGGUACCUGGUGAAUAAGCCACGGCUAACUACGUG